AUGGACAUCUAAAGUUAUUUUUUGUAAUUUUUUGGUCUAGGGUCUAUGUUUUCUCUUUCUGACGUAUAAGUAAGUGCAUAUCGCUCAGAAAGAGUUCCAAAUAUAUUGUUUUUGUCGUUCACACACAAAAUUGUCUACAGUUAAUGUAACAACUACUGAUAAACUCUAAUAAUUUAAACACUCCUACAAUAUAAGCAAAAAAUAACUUCCAUGAAUGGAUAUCUAAAGUGAUUUUUUGUAAUUUUUUGUCCUAGGGUGUAUGUUUUCUCUUUCUGACUACAGUUGUCCCAGUGUAGGUACCUCAACAAACCGAUAUAUUGUCAGAGGAGUCUUUUAUUGCUUUUAUUCUGAGCCAGAGAUUAAGCAUUAGAUGCUGAUUGUGUAGCAUUAAUUGAUUUUGGCAAUGCCAAAGGUAUUAAUGAUGUUAAUUUUUCAUUUAAAUCAUUUAUCAAUAAUUCUGGAUAAAGCAUGUCUUCAGGUCUGAAGUGUCUUUCACACACACAAUUGUCCAAUAGGCGCAUACGUUUUUUAUAUUUAUCAAGGUAUCAUAUAGUUCUUUGUACAUUGGACUCUGAUUAACGUAUUCAUUUGUUAUAGCGUAUAAAUAUUUUUUGUCAUUAUCGCUUCAUACUGUGAUCUCUGCGACUGAGUUAAUUCUUGAUACUUGUGUUGUGCUAGUGAUACAUCACUAGCUGGACUAGUUGCUAACUUAACAUGGAUUAUUUCAUUUUUAAUAUAACGGCCAUUCAUUACAGUAAUAGCCGACUGUGUAUGUGAUGCCUGUAAAAUAAAAAAUAAAAAAAAAUGGACAUCUAAAGUUAUUUUUUGUAAUUUUUUGGUCUAGGGUCUAUGUUUUCUCUUUCUGACGUAUAAGUAAGUGCAUAUCGCUCAGAAAGAGUUCCAAAUAUAUUGUUUUUGUCGUUCACACACAAAAUUGUCAACAGUUAAUCUAACAACUACUGAUAAACUCUAAUAAUUUAAACAUUCCUACAAUAUAAGCAAAAAAUAACUUCCAUGAAUGGAUAUCUAAAGUGAUUUUUUGUAAUUUUUUGUCCUAGGGUGUAUGUUUUCUCUUUCUGACUACAGUUGUCCCAGUGUAGGUACCUCAACAAACGGAUAUAUUGUCAGAGGAGUCUUUUAUUGCUUUUAUUCUGAGCCAGAGAUUAAGCAUUAGAUGCUGAUUGUGUAGCAUUAAUUGAUUUUGGCAAUGCCAAAGGUAUUAAUGAUGUUAAUUUUUCAUUUAAAUCAUUUAUCAAUAAUUCUGGAUAAAGCAUGUCUUCAGGUCUGAAGUGUCUUUCACACACACAAUUGUCUACAGUUAAGUUCACUUUUAGUGAUAAACUCUAAUAAUUUAAACAUUCCUAAAAAAUAAGCAAAAAAUAACUUCCAUGAAUGGACAACUAAAUAUAUUUUUGUAAUUUUUUGGUCUAGGGUCUAUGUUUUCUCUUUCUGACGUAUAAGUAAGUGCAUAUCGCUCAGAAAGAGUUCCAAAUAUAUUGUUUUUGUCGUUCACACACAAAAUUGUCUACAGUUAAUCUAACAACUACUGAUAAACUCUAAUAAUUUAAACAUUCCUACAAUUCUUCUUUAAGGGUGCAUACGUUUUUUAUUUAUGAUACAUCACUAGCUGGUCUAGAUGCUAAAUGGACAUUGACUAAUUUAUCUUUCAUAUAACUACCAUUCAUUACAAUAAUAGCCGACUGUGUAUGUGAUGCCUGUAAAGUAAAAAAUAAAAAUAAAUGGACAUCUAAAGUUAUAUUUUUGUAAUAUUUUGGUCUGGGGUCUAUGUUUUCUCUUUCUGACGUAUAAGUAAGUGCAUAUCGCUCAGAAAGAGUUCCAAAUAUAUUUUUUUGUCGUUCACACACAAAAUUGUCUAAAGUUAAUCUAACAACUACUGAUAAACUCUAAUAAUUUAAACAUUCGUACAAUAUAAGCAAAAAAUAACUUCCAUGAAUGGAUAUCUAAAGUGAUUUUUUUGUAAUUUUUUGUCUAGGGUGUAUGUUUUCUCUUUCUGACUACAGUUGUCCCAGUGUAGGUACCUCAACAAACGGAUAUAUUGUGAGAGGAAUCUUUUAUUGCUUUUAUUCUGAGCCAGAGAUUAAGCAUUAGAUGCAGAUUGUGUAGCAUUAAUUGAUUUUGGCAAUGCCAAAGGUAUUAAUGAUGUUAAUUUUUCAUUUAUAUCAUUUAUCAAUAAUUCUGGAUAAAGCAUGUCUUCAGGUCUGAAGUGUCUUUCACACACAAUAUUGUCUACAGUUAAGUUCACUUUUAGUGAUAAACUCUAAUAAUUUAAACAUUCCUACAAAAUAAGCAAAAAUUAACUUCCAUGAAUGGACAUCUAAAGUUAUAUUUUUGUAAUAUUUUGGUCUGGGGUCUAUGUUUUCUCUUUCUGACGUAUAAGUAAGUGCAUAUCGCUCAGAAAGAGUUCCAAAUAUAUUGUUUUUGUCGUUCACACACAAAAUUGUCUACAGUUAAUCUAACACCUACUGAUAAACUUAAUAACUUAAACAUUCCUACUAUUCUUCUUUAAUAGGCGCAUACGUUUUUUAUAUUUAUCAAGGUAUCAUAUAUUUCUUUAUACAUUGGACUCUGAUUAACGUAUUCAUUUGUUAUAGCGUAUAAAUAUUUUUUGUCAUUAUCGCUUCCUACUGUGAUCUCUGCGACUGAGUUAAUUCUUGAUACUUGUGUUGUGCUAGUGAUACAUCACUAGCUGGACUAGUUGCUAACUUAACAUGGAUUAUUUCAUUUUUGAUAUAACGGCCAUUCAUUACAGUAAUAGCCGACUGUGUAUGUGAUUCCUGUAAAAUAAAAAA
rnacentral:lncRNA from 1 species